CCAUGGGUACAGAUGCCCGAAAUUUUAUUCGAACCCGAACCCGAAUGCUCAUUUGCAUUAACAAUUGCAUCAAUUUGAGGUGAUACUGAAUUGAAAAAGUCCUCAAAAGAGAACCACACAGUACAAUUUUGCUAGACAGACCCCAAUUGACUAGUUAAUCAGCUUGCAUAGUAAUCCUGGAGAAGCAAGAAUUCUAUCCAAAAGAAAAGACGUGACAUUCGUCGACGAAGAACUGAAGCGUUUUGAGCUUCAUUCUAGUGUACUAACUACCAAGUGAACGACUCGCAUUGGUCAGAUCUGAAGUGGAUCGCUUUAAUAAUCAAUGCUGAGUCCGAGAAUAUCUGAAUUCGUUCUCCUGGGAAGGUAUCCAAGAAAAUUUGCGUCAAUUACCUCUCUAUAUUUUGGCAUUAUUUCGAGUAGAUAAUGGUUGACUUCAACUGUAAAAUUUUGCAAAAAAAAUUGAUAGAGAAAGUUUGUUAUAAUUAAUGCAGUGAAAUUAUAAAAAAUUGAUAGGAAAGAGGUUUGUUAUAAUUAAUGCAGUGAAAUUAUGUAAAUUAAAUAUAAUUAUUCAAUA
rnacentral:lncRNA from 1 species